rnacentral:tRNA from 1 species
GCCGGAGUGAUGGAAUUGGUAGACGUGGGGGACUUAAAAUCCCCUGGGCGAAAGCCCGUACCGGUUCGAGUCCGGUCUCCGGCACCA